GGCUUCUCCUGGUUGGUGGAAAAUAGGGCUACCACUUGAUGGGGGUAGGGGUGGGGUGGGAAUAGAUACUAUUUGUUUUCAGUUAAGCAUCCAUGGAAGAAGAAAUGCUUUUGUCUUUCAUCCAUGAAGGCUAUUAUCAAGGGGAAUCACGCUGAUUGGCCCAGAUGGAUCAUGUCUCUUAUCUCAGGGCCACUUUCUUCAAGGGAAGCCACCCUCAUGGAACUGGUAGCCCUAGUAGAACUACACCAGUGGGGAGAGAGGAGAGCUCUUUGAGGAAAUACAGUGUUGAAGAAAGCCUUCCUUGGCAGACAGAGCACCAGAUGUUCAUCACUAAAACACAGUUGCGGUUUUUAGAAGAACCAAUGGGAGAUAAGAAAGUUAGUGAAAAGGUUUUUCUAUUCAGUUGUGAAUGGUCUCUCUGUUGUCUUCAGAGCCGUGAAACUCCUCCAGAGAGGGGCCUUAUAUUAGAUUUACUCGUAGUCUCUGUCCUGGGAAUAGAAGCCAUUCCAAAGAGGGAGUUUAUAGCAGCCUUCAUUUCUCAGAAGUUCCUGUCUUGAGUCAGAUAAGGAAGGCUCAAUGAGGCCGCUUUCUGCAUCUGUUUAAACUCAUAUGUCUUCCGCUUAAAAUAAUCUUUAUACCAGCUCUGGGUUUCUGCUGUGUAUCCACAUAGCCUAAUAUGGAGUACCUGUGUAUGAACACACACGAAACACAGACGCACAGGGAAAUACAUGAGGGAGCAGUGCUGUGUGCAGGACGGGCUCAGAGCACCAGCGGUGGCAUCUGCAGGGCCUCGGUUCACACCCAGCCUCCGCUACAGCACUGUGACCUAGGCUGUAUAACUUGGCCUCUUGAGUCUCGGCUCUUCUGUGGGAAAAAUGCGGCUGAUUAGAGUCCCCCCAUCACUGGGAUAUUGUGAGGAGUGAAUGAGAUGACAAACAUCGCCUUUCUAGCAUAUCAAUAACCUGGGCUGUACGAAGGCCUCAUUAAAGACAAGUUCUGUUAUGCUAAACUGUGUCCAGAGGUCGUCGUUGAUGUGAGGAUGGGUGCUACCGCAGAUUCAAGAAGUCUUUCAGUAAAUAUUUGUACGGGACUUACCUCAUUGCCAAGAUAUUAGACUGCGAAAAACAAAUCUAAUUCCUGUUCUUGUGGAGAAGAAAGAUAUUAAAC
rnacentral:lncRNA from 1 species